rnacentral:rRNA from 1 species
AAUACGGGGGGGGCAAGCGUUGUUCGGAAUUACUGGGCGUAAAGGGCUCGUAGGUGGCCAACUAAGUCAGACGUGAAAUCCCCAGGCUCAACCUGGGAACUGCGUCUGAUACUGGAUGGCUUGAAUCCGGGAGAGGGAUGCAGAAUUCCAGGUGUAGCGGUGAAAUGCGUAGAUAUCUGGAGGAAUACCGGUGGCGAAGGCGGCAUCCUGGACCGGCAUUGACACUGAGGAGCGAAAGCCAGGGGAGCAAACGGGA